rnacentral:rRNA from 1 species
AGCAGCAGCCACGGUAAUACGAAGGGGGCUAGCGUUGUUCGGAUUUACUGGGCGUAAAGGGCGCGUAGGCGGACUGAUAAGUCAGGGGUGAAAUCCCAAGGCUCAACCUUGGAACUGCCUUUGAUACUGUUUGUCUUGAGUUCGAGAGAGGUAAGUGGAACUGCGAGUGUAGAGGUGAAAUUCGUAGAUAUUCGCAAGAACACCAGUGGCGAAGGCGGCUUACUGGCUCGAAACUGACGCUGAGGCGCGAAAGCGUGGGGAGCACACAGGAUUAGAUACCCCAGUAGUCCCUGUCUCUUAUAC